CCUGCAAGUACUAUGGUAGCAAGAAUUAAGAACCAAUAAAGAUGAGAUAGAGGCAGAAUUCUCAUUGAGAGAUAACACACUUAUUUCCACAAGGGUGUAUGCACAUCACUAAAUGGGAGGGCACGAGAUGGAGUUCCCUCCAAAAAAGAACCUCAGGCCCUAGCAAGGAGGCAUGAGAUGGAAGGCACCUGGAAACACAGGAUGCACCUAAUACAUACAUAUGUAUUACACAGGCUUAAACAGAAAA